AUAAAUUGUGAUGAUUCCAUAUUCUUGAAUUUGUAUAAGAAUUUUUCUAUACGUAUUAGAUUGGCAAUUAUGCUAGAAUGUCUUUACGAAAAUCUACCUUUCUAAAUUUGAGCCCAAAAUAUUUAAUUGGUUAUUUUUGAAAUGUUAUUGAAAGUGACUGUUAUUAAUGGUUUCAGUGAAAUUCAUAUUAAUGAUUUCAGUGAUAUGUUGAGUACAUGAUAUUGUUGCUUUCGAAUGUUUAAAGAGAUUUAAAAAUAUUUUAAGUAUAUGCAAGUGGACUCAUCCGGUUCGCCGGUGAGGUUUAAUUCGACCUAUUCGGGACGCCGGUAGGGAUUAAGUGGACUCAUCCGGUACGUCGGUGAGGUAUAAGUGGACUUGCAGGGAUUAAGUGGACCUAUAUGAGAUGUCGAUAGGGAUUAAGUGGACCCAUCAAGACGCUGAUGGGUAAUAUAAGUGACCUACUUGGGACGCCGUAGGGUAUUUUGUGAAAUCCUUUGAAUUAUGCACUGCCGUUGCAAUGUUAUAUGCAUUUCAAUUAUUCGGAUUAUACUUAAUUAUGCAUUUUUGGAAGUGAAACUGUUACUGCAUUUCUGUUAAUAGAUCUCCUUUUUGGAAAUAUUGAUAUCUUUCAACCAUGAUUAUUUUUAGGAUUAUGAUGAGCACUUACUGAGUAGCCAAACUCAUCAAACUAUGGUAAAUAUUUUUCAGAAUAACUGCGGUUUCAUUUGAGUGCUCGUCAGGAUCCACUUUGGGAAGAUAUUGUAGUUGUGCUUAAACUUUUUUUUGUUACUUUUCAAAAAUUCGCCAUCGUAAUUUUGUCUUAAAAAGAGAUGUAUAUAUAUGUUUUGACUGUGACAUCUCAGGAAUAUCAGUAUUGUAAAUUCUUGGGGUGUGACAAUUAUGGUAUCGGAGCAAUAGGUUUAAGAUUCUUAGGAAAUUUAAAAAUCUUUUUCAAUAAUCAGGUACACAAAUUUAGAGCACUAAAUUUCUUUAAGGGGGGAAGAAUGUAACAAUCUUAAACUUUUUUUUAAAAAAAAAAAAAGAAGAAGAAAAGAAACUUUUAAUACAUGAUGAUUCUUUUGAACAUGAUGGUCCUUAGGGACCAUCGCUACUUUUAAAAGCUUUUGGUUUAAAAGCUUUGUUGCUUCUUUGCUCUUGCCACGUCCACUAAAGGACGUGGGCUUUAGGCGUUUAAAGCGUAUUUUAACGCUUACACCUGUAACGUAAUAAAAGAAUAAAAUAAUAUGUUAGUAGAAAUUAAAUUGCUCACACCUGUAACGUAAUAAAAGAAUAAAAUAAUAUGUUAGUAGAAAUUAAAUUUAGAGAGGUGAAGACUCCUACCUUAGAAAACUUAUAAGAUUUUUUUCUCUCUCUUGUCGAAACACAGUGAACUUCUCUGUCUAGCUGAAUUUUUAUCGGAAGCUCCCUCUCAAAUAUUUUAUGUAUAAGUGACAUCAU
rnacentral:lncRNA from 1 species